rnacentral:rRNA from 1 species
AACGAACGCUGGCGGCGUGCCUAACACAUGCAAGUCGAACGAGACCUUCGGGUCUAGUGGCGCACGGGUGCGUAACGCGUGGGAACCUGCCCUUAGGUUCGGAAUAACUCCCCGAAAGGGGUGCUAAUACCGGAUAAUGUCUUCGGACCAAAGAUUUAUCGCCUUUGGAUGGGCCCGCGUUGGAUUAGCUAGUUGGUAGGGUAAAAGCCUACCAAGGCGACGAUCCAUAGCUGGUCUGAGAGGAUGAUCAGCCACACUGGGACUGAGACACGGCCCAGACUCCUACGGGAGGCAGCAGUGGGGAAUAUUGGACAAUGGGCGAAAGCCUGAUCCAGCAAUGCCGCGUGAGUGAUGAAGGCCUUAGGGUUGUAAAGCUCUUUUACCCGGGAUGAUAAUGACAGUACGGGGAGAAUAAGCUCCGGCUAACUCCGUG